rnacentral:misc_RNA from 1 species
UACGAAGGGGGCUAGCGUUGUUCGGAAUCACUGGGCGUAAAGCGCACGUAGGCGGAUUUUUAAGUCAGGGGUGAAAUCCCGGAGCUCAACUCCGGAACUGCCUUUGAUACUGGAGAUCUCGAGUCCGGGAGAGGUGAGUGGAAUUGCGAGUGUAGAGGUGAAAUUCGUAGAUAUUCGCAGGAACACCAGUGGCGAAGGCGGCUCACUGGCCCGGAACUGACGCUGAGGUGCGAAAGCGUGGGGAGCAAACAGG